rnacentral:lncRNA from 1 species
AGCCACGGCCACGCUUUAUUGCUUAAGACGCACACAGAACACAGAGGAACAAACAAGGAGGAAAGGGCGCCACACACAGCCCAGACCAGGCAGGAGCGGCCCAGCCGCCGGAAGAGAGCAGGGAGCAUCCCCCACCCAGCUGUCCAGUCACUGCCAAGGCUGCAGUUCCAGGUACCGGGGUGCACCUUAGGAGCCCUGUGGGCUUCUUCAGAAGGCAGGGUGACAGUGGGCGCUGCACCCUAGGCAGCAGUGGGAGGUUGCUGGCGGGUCCCACUUGCCCCUCCCCUCAAGCCAGGACCAGCAUCUCCAGGGGAAGCUGCUCCCAGGUCACAGCAGGUCACAGGCAGCCCUGUCUGUGGUGUGAGAUCUGCAGACCCACCCAGCAGAGGAGUAGGGCUGGGUAGUGUCCACACAGCUGCUGCAGGCUCU